UACGUAGGGGGCAAGCGUUGUCCGGAUUUAUUGGGCGUAAAGAGCGUGUAGGGGGCCAUACAGGUCAGCUGUGAAAACUCGAGGCUCAACCUCGAGACGUCGGUUGAAACCGUUUGGCUAGAGUCCGGAAGAGGAGAGUGGAAUUCCCGGUGUAGCGGUGAAAUGCGCAGAUAUCGGGAAGAACACCCGUGGCGAAGGCGGCUCUCUGGGACGGUACUGACGCUGAGACGCGAAAGCGUGGGGAGCGAACAGG
rnacentral:rRNA from 1 species